rnacentral:rRNA from 1 species
GCCUGACCGUGCGACGCCGCGUGGAGGAUGAAGGCCUUCGGGUUGUAAACUCCUGUCAGGGGGGAUGAAUGGCUUCCGGCUCGACCGGGAGUCAUACUUGACAAAUCCCCAGAGGAAGCUCCGGCUAAAUCCGUGCCAGCAGCCGCGGUAAUACGGGAUGGAGCGAACGUUGUUCGGAAUCACUGGGCUUAAAGAGCACGUAGGCGGUUCGGCAAGUCGGGCGUGAAAGCCCCCGGCUCAACCGGGGAAUGGCGUCCGAAACUGCCGGGCUGGAGUGAAGCAGGGGGGCGUGGAACUUCGGGUGGAGCGGUGAAAUGCGUAGAUAUCCGAAGGAACGCCGGUGGUGUAAACGGCGCCCUGGGCUUCUACUGACGCUGAGGUGCGAAAGCUAGGGGAGCGAACGGGAUUAGAUACCCCGGUAGUCCUAGCCGUAAACGAUGGGUGCUAGGUAGUGGAGGUUCCGAUGCCUUCUCUGCCGAAACAAAAGCGAUAAGCACCCCGCCUGGGGAGUAUGGUCGCAAGGCUA